rnacentral:rRNA from 1 species
GUCGAGGGGCAGCAUUUCAGUUUGCUUGCAAACUGGAGAUGGCGACCGGCGCACGGGUGAGUAACACGUAUCCAACCUGCCGAUAACUCGGGGAUAGCCUUUCGAAAGAAAGAUUAAUACCCGAUGGUAUAAUUAGACCGCAUGGUCUUGUUAUUAAAGAAUUUCGGUUAUCGAUGGGGAUGCGUUCCAUUAGGCAGUUGGUGAGGUAACGGCUCACCAAACCUUCGAUGGAUAGGGGUUCUGAGAGGAAGGUCCCCCACAUUGGAACUGAGACACGGUCCAAACUCCUACGGGAGGCAGCAGUGAGGAAUAUUGGUCAAUGGGCGCAGGCCUGAACCAGCCAAGUAGCGUGAAGGAUGACUGCCCUAUGGGUUGUAAACUUCUUUUAUAUGGGAAUAAAGUUUUCCACGUGUGGAAUUUUGUAUGUACCAUAUGAAUAAGGAUCGGCUAACUCCGUGCCAGCAGCCGCGGUAAUACGGAGGAUCCGAGCGUUAUCCGGAUUUAUUGGGUUUAAAGGGAGCGUAGGUGGACAGUUAAGUCAGUUGUGAAAGUUUGCGGCUCAACCGUAAAAUUGCAGUUGAUACUGGCUGUCUUGAGUACAGUAGAGGUGGGCGGAAUUCGUGGUGUAGCGGUGAAAUGCUUAGAUAUCACGAAGAACUCCGAUUGCGAAGGCAGCUCACUGGACUGCAACUGACACUGAUGCUCGAAAGUGUGGGUAUCAA